rnacentral:rRNA from 1 species
UACGGGGGGGGCAAGCGUUGUUCGGAAUUACUGGGCGUAAAGGGUUUGUAGGUGGCCCGCUAAGUCACACGUGGAAUCCCUCAGCUUAACUGGGGAACUGCGUGUGAGACUGGCAGGCUCGAGGGCAGGAGAGGAACGCGGAAUUCCAGGUGUAGCGGUGGAAUGCGCAGAUAUCAGGAGGAACACCGGUGGCGAAGGCGGCUCACUGGCCCGAUACUGACGCUGAGGUGCGAAAGCGUGGGGAGCAAACAGG